CAAAUUUUUUUCAUCAAAAUAUAAUUGAAAUCAAAGAGUUUCUUGAGCACGUGGUGCGGAGUGGAGGGAGACUUCUGGGAAAGGUGAAGGGAAAAGGGAUGUGCGCAACCACCGAUCGCGCCGGACAGAUGAUCGUCUGCAAGAGACCGCUUUUAUUCCGUUAGAUGAGACGUCAACUGAGAACCGGGAGUAUCGUUCAGGUGUUCGUCGGAUCGACGCAAUUUCCCGCGUUUUCGGACAAUCCACGAUCGUUUACGAUUAAUAUCGUUUGGAGAAUUUUUAUUCAAAUCAGACGAUAAUAUGUCCAGAAGGAAACAAGCGAAACCACGAGCUCUUAAAAGAGAAGAUGUGGAUGGUUUUCCAGAUGAGAGUACAGAAGAAUUAGGUAUAGAUUUGAUGACU